rnacentral:rRNA from 1 species
UACGUAGGGGGCUAGCGUUGUCCGGAAUCAUUGGGCGUAAAGAGCGUGUAGGCGGUCCGGUAAGUCCGCUGUGAAAGUCGGGGGCUCAACCCUCGAAUGCCGGUGGAUACUGCGCGGCUAGAGUGCAGAAGGGGCAACUGGAAUUCUCGGUGUAGCGGUGAAAUGCGUAGAUAUCUGGAGGAACACCGGUGGCGAAGGCGGCAUCCUGGACCAAUAUUGACGCUGAGGAGCGAAAGCCAGGGGAGCAAACGGG